ACGGGAGGCAGCAGUGGGGAAUAUUGGACAAUGGGGGAAACCCUGAUCCAGCGACGCCGCGUGAGUGAAGAAGUAUUUCGGUAUGUAAAGCUCUAUCAGCAAGGAAGAAAAUGACGGUACUUGACUAAGAAGCUCCGGCUAAAUACGUGCCAGCAGCCGCGGUAAUACGUAUGGAGCAAGCGUUAUCCGGAUUUACUGGGUGUAAAGGGAGCGUAGACGGAAGGCCAAGUCUGAUGUGAAAACCCGGGGCUCAACCCCGGGACUGCAUUGGAAACUGGUCAUCUGGAGUGCAGGAGGGGUAAGCGGAAUUCCUAGUGUAGCGGUGAAAUGCGUAGAUAUUAGGAGGAACACCGGUGGCGAAGGCGGCUUACUGGACUGUAACUGACGUUGAGGCUCGAAAGCGUGGGGAGCAAACAGGAUUAGAUACCCUGGUA
rnacentral:rRNA from 1 species